ensembl:lncRNA
GAAGGAGUUGGUGAAGCUGAAGGUGUUGAUGCUAGUGAUGGUGAUGGUCAUGAUGGGGAUGCUGAAGGUGUUGAUGUUGGUGUUAGUGAGUGCUGGUGAUGGUUAUGAUGUUGGUGUUGGUGAUGCUGAAGGUGUUGGUGAUGCUGAAGGUGUUGAUGUUGGUGUUGGUGAUAGUGCUGGUGAUGGUCAUGAUGUUGGUGUUGGUGAUGCUGAAGGUGUUGAUGUUGGUGUUAGUGAGUGCUUGUGAUGGUCAUGAUGUUGGUGUUGGUGAUGCUGAAGGUGUUGGUGUUGGUGAUGCUGAAGGUGUUGAUGUUGGUGUUGGUGAUAGUGCUGGUGAUGGUCAUGAUGUUGGUGUUGGUGAUGCUGAAGGUGUUGGUGAUGCUGAAGGUGCUGAUGUUGGUGAUAGUGCUGGUGAUGGUCAUGAUGUUGGUAUUGGUGAUGCUGAAGGUGUUGAUGUUGGUGUUGGUGAUAGUGCUGGUGAUGGUCAUGAUGUUGGUAUUGGUGAUGCUGAAGGUGUUGAUGUUGGUGUUGGUGAUAGUGCUGGUGAUGGUCAUGAUGUUGGUGUUGGUGAUGCUGAAGGUGUUGAUGGUGUUGGUGAUAGUGCUGGUGAUGGUUAUGAUGUUGGUGUUGGUGAUAGUGCUGGUGAUGGUCAUGAUGUUGGUGUUGGUGAUGCUGAAGGUGUUGAUGGUGUUGGUGAUAGUGCUGGUGAUGGUUAUGAUGUUGGUGUUGGUGAUAGUGCUGGUGAUGGUCAUGAUGUUGGUGUUGGUGAUGCUGAAGGUGUUGAUGUUGGUGUUGGUGAUAGUGCUGGUGAUGGUUAUGAUGUUGGUGUUGGUGAUAGUGCUGGUGAUGGUCAUGAUGCUGAUGGUGUUGGUAAUGGUGAUGGUAUUGAUGGUAUUGCUGUUGUGAGCAGUGGUGUGUGGGAUGGAGAGAUGAAGAAGAAGAAGAAGAAGAAGAAGAAGAAGAAGAAGAAGAAGAAGAAGAGCAGGAGGCGGAGAACGAGGAGGAGGAGAAAAUGAAUGAUGGCAGUAUUGGAGCUGCAAAGAG